GACAGAGGAUGCAAGCGUUGUCCGGAUUUAUUUGGCGUAAAGAGCUCGUAGGCGGCUUGUUGCGUCGACUGUGAAAACCCGCGGCUUAACUGCGGGCUUGCAGUUGAUACGGGCAGGCUAGAGUUCGGUAGGGGAGACUGGAAUUCCUGGUGUAGCGGUGAAAUGCGCAGAUAUCAGGAGGAACACCGGUGGCGAAGGCGGGUCUCUGGGCCGAUACUGACGCUGAGGAGCGAAAGCGUGGGGAGCGAACAGG
rnacentral:rRNA from 1 species